UACGGGGGGGGCAAGCGUUGUUCGGAAUUACUGGGCGUAAAGGGCGCGUAGGCGGCCUACUAAGUCGGACGUGAAAUCCCUCGGCUCAACCGAGGAACUGCGUCCGAUACUGGCAGGCUGGAAUCCGGGAGAGGGAUGUGGAAUUCCAGGUGUAGCGGUGAAAUGCGUAGAUAUCUGGAGGAACACCGGUGGCGAAGGCGGCAUCCUGGACCGGUAUUGACGCUGAGGCGCGAAAGCUAGGG
rnacentral:rRNA from 1 species